GUGGUGCAUGUCCGUUCUUAGUUGGUGGAGCGAUUUGUCUGGUUAAUUUCGAUAACGAACGACUCUAGUCUUCUAAAUAGGUGCGUGUUCUCUGCACCUUGCACCUUUCUCAGAGGGACAAGCGGCUCCUAGCAGCAGGAAACAGAGCAAUAUCAGGUCUGUGAUGGUCAUAGAUGUCCGGGGCCGCACGCGCGCUACACUGAAGGAAGCAGCGUGUUUUAUCACUUUCUGUUAAGACAGUAAGCUUAGAAAAAAAAGUGGCUUGAGCCAAUACAGGGAGCUAAUUGAAGUCCAUCGGAUUGCCCCGAGCAAG
rnacentral:ncRNA from 1 species